rnacentral:rRNA from 1 species
UACGGAGGGUGCAAGCGUUUAAUCGGAAUUACUGGGCGUAAAGCGUGCGCAGGCGGUUUGUUAAGUCUGUUGUGAAAUCCCCGAGCUCAACUUGGGAAUUGCAAUGGAUACUGGCAGGCUGGAGUAUGGUAGAGGAAGGUGGAAUUCCCGGUGUAGCAGUGAAAUGCGUAGAGAUCGGGAGGAACACCAGUGGCGAAGGCGGCCUUCUGGACCAAUACUGACGCUCAUGCACGAAAGCGUGGGGAGCAAACAGG